rnacentral:rRNA from 1 species
GACGAACGCUGGCGGCGUGCUUAACACAUGCAAGUCGAACGGAAAGGCCCUGCUUUUGUGGGGUGCUCGAGUGGCGAACGGGUGAGUAACACGUGAGUAACCUGCCCUUGACUUUGGGAUAACUUCAGGAAACUGGGGCUAAUACCGGAUAGGAGCUCCUGCUGCAUGGUGGGGGUUGGAAAGUUUCGGCGGUUGGGGAUGGACUCGCGGCUUAUCAGCUUGUUGGUGGGGUAGUGGCCUACCAAGGCUUUGACGGGUAGCCGGCCUGAGAGGGUGACCGGCCACAUUCGGACUGAGAUACGGCCCAGACUCCUACGGGAGGCAGCAGUGGGGAAUAUUGCACAAUGGGCGGAAGCCUGAUGCAGCAACGCCGCGUGCGGGAUGACGGCCUUCGGGUUGUAAACCGCUUUCGCCUGUGACGAAGCGUGAGUGACGGUAAUGGGUAAAGAAGCACCGGCUAACUACGUG